rnacentral:misc_RNA from 1 species
GGGAGUGGAACAAAUCUGUUGGUGCUCAAGGCCAUGCAAGAAUCUGAUUCAACUAAACCUGCUAUUUUUGCUAUGUCAAACCCCACAAUGAAUGGUCUGCUUUGGUGAAUUUCACAAGCUUCCAAAUUUAUGACAGCAACUGGUUAUUUCUGUUGACAUUGUGUAUUGUGCUUGUAUCCCCUGGAACAGCGGAAUGCACUGCUGCUGAUGCUUUCAAAUAUGCUGGGGAAAAUAUAGUUUUUGCAAGUGGAAGCCCCUUUGAAAAUGUUGAUCUUGGGAAUGGGAAAGUAGGGCAUGUAAAUCAAGCAAACAAUAUGUACCUGUUUCCUGGUAUUGGUUUGGGGACUCUUCUUUCAGGUGCACGUUUUAUAACAGAUGAAAUGUUGCAAGCAGCUUCUGAAUGCCUCGCAUCUUACAUGACAGAUGAGGAAAUCCAGAAGGGCAUAUUAUAUCCAUCUGUUAAUAGUAUUCGACACAUUACAGCUGAGGUUGGUGCUGCUGUUCUGCGAGCAGCUGUUGCCGAAGGUUUGGCAGAAGGACAUGGUGAUGUGGGCCCCAGAGAGCUCAAGAACAUGUCUAAAGUAUGUCAAUUUCCUAUGGAAAAAAUAAACCAGCUCCUUUUAUAGGAAAAAAAAAUGGCAAAUAACUUUACACUUGUCCAAGAAAGCAUUAAUAUUAAAUGAUUGAUACGUCUCUGAAAAAGCAUUAGGUAGAACAAAAUGAUUGUAAUUUUUUUCCUUGGCUAAUUAAUUAAGUAUUUGCAACUUAAAGGCAAUAAGAUGACACGGGAUAAUUGGUUGUAUAUAGGCCUUGUUUGUGUAGCUCUGCCGUGAAAUCAAUCUCCCCCCUAAUUUUUUCAUGGUGAUUCUGGAUGCAGGAGGAGACGGUGGAAUACAUCACGCGCAAUAUGUGGUUCCCAGUUUACAACCCCCUUGUUCAUGAGAAAUAGAGCUUUAGUUCAUGAAAAAUUUAUGGGCUCUGAUCAUCGCCCUCUACUGCUUCAUCUCCAGAAACGUCAAAAAUAGUGAAGAGAUCGUUUUAAGUUUGAACCUAAAUGGAUUAUUUCAGAAGAUUGUCAAUGAACUAUUGAGCAAUCUUGGACCACUGAUUCAGUCUCUUUGUCAGUUCAAAGCUCAAUCACUGCAAUGAAAUGUUAUCAUCUUGGAACCAAUCUAGGCCUUGUUUGGUUAAGAAGUAAAUAGACUAGGAAGUAGAAUUUAGUCUUGUUUAGUUUACAUUAUCCAACCAACUUCCUGAGAAGUAGAGCACUCUACUUCUCUUGUGCAAGUAAAGUAACUUACCUAAAUUGGUAAGUUGCACUUCCUUAGUUAAAUAUAAUGAAUUCACUAAUUUGUCCUUUAAUUUAUUACACUUUAAAUUAUUUUAUGGGCAUUAUUAUAUUUUGGGAAAUUAAUUUGUAUACUAAAUACAUUUAUAUCAUACUUCCCAUAAAAUAAAUUCCCUGCAAGUAUACUUAAUGGGAAAUAUACUUUCUAAGAAGUAGAGCAUUUUGUGGUAAGUUUUCAAUUUUUUUCUAUUGUGAUUUUUAAUUUUCUUUUUACAUGUGAUGUAAUUCUUUCCUAUCUGCACUCGAUGUGAUUUGAUGGGUCGUUACUAUGAAGUUCUUAAUAAGAGUAAAAGGAUAAAAAAAUUGCAUGGAAGAAUUGCUUCUUGUCAUGGAAAUGAUAAGAGUUUCCGUUUAU